rnacentral:tRNA from 1 species
GCCUGGGUGGCUCAGUGGGUGGAGCGUCCGACUUCGGCUCAGGUCACGAUCUCAGGGUUUGUGAGUUUCAGCCUCGCAUCAGGCA